rnacentral:rRNA from 1 species
UAGUGGCGAACGGGUGAGUAACACGUGGGCAAUCUGCCCUUCACUCUGGGACAAGCCCUGGAAACGGGGUCUAAUACCGGAUACCACUCCUGCCUGCAUGGGCGGGGGUUGAAAGCUCCGGCGGUGAAGGAUGAGCCCGCGGCCUAUCAGCUUGUUGGUGGGGUAAUGGCCCACCAAGGCGACGACGGGUAGCCGGCCUGAGAGGGCGACCGGCCACACUGGGACUGAGACACGGCCCAGACUCCUACGGGAGGCAGCAGUGGGGAAUAUUGCACAAUGGGCGAAAGCCUGAUGCAGCGACGCCGCGUGAGGGAUGACGGCCUUCGGGUUGUAAACCUCUUUCAGCAGGGAAGAAGCGAAAGUGACGGUACCUGCAGAAGAAGCGCCGGCUAACUACGUGCCAGCAGCCGCGGUAAUACGUAGGGCGCAAGCGUUGUCCGGAAUUAUUGGGCGUAAAGAGCUCGUAGGCGGCUUGUCACGUCGGAUGUGAAAGCCCGAGGCUUAACCUCGGGUCUGCAUUCGAUACGGGCUAGCUAGAGUGUGGU